rnacentral:rRNA from 1 species
UACGUAGGGCGCAAGCGUUGUCCGGAAUUAUUGGGCGUAAAGAGCUCGUAGGCGGUUUGUCGCGUCUGCCGUGAAAACCCGAGGCUUAACCUCGGGCUGGCGGUGGAUACGGGCAGACUAGAGGUAGGUAGGGGAGAAUGGAAUUCCCGGUGUAGUGGUGAAAUGCGUAGAUAUCGGGAGGAACACCGGUGGCGAAGGCGGUUCUCUGGGCAUUACCUGACGCUGAGGAGCGAAAGUGUGGGGAGCGAACAGG